rnacentral:rRNA from 1 species
AUGGAUCGAGGGGAGUUCUUCGUGAGCAUGUCCGUCACCGACCGACGAGUUCACCUCAACUGGGAGGUGAUUUUUGUCUAUGGACCGGCAGAUCAUGGGCGCUCUGCUGACUUCCUUGCCGAGCUGAAAAAUAAGGUGGAGCGGUGCACCACUCCGGUGGUGGUGGCCGGGGACUUCAACCUCAUUAGGUGGGCUUCUGAUAAAAGCUCUACUAAUGUUGAUUGUGUUCGCUUGCAUCUAUUUAAUGAAUGCAUUGCGGAUCUGGCUCUUAGUGAGAUAGCCCACGUAGGGGCUAGGUUCACAUGGACGAAUAAGUAG